rnacentral:lncRNA from 1 species
GGCAAGAUAUGUAUACAUGUAAAAUGAUUUUUUAAAAAUUAAAAUCUCGUAUGUACUUUCCUUUGGGAUUCUGCUGGACACUACUGCUCCAGAAAAUCAGACCAGGAACCUGGGAGAGGAAGUGCUGAACCCUCCAUGUGAACCCCAGACCCCAGCACCAGCUUGGAAGUACAGAGGUGCCCAGCUUCAUGGAAGCAACUCUCAGGUCUUCAGUCUCUCCAGUGUGCUGAUAGUCAUUGCUGGACUACCA